GUUCCCUUCAAGCACUUCACAUGAAGCUUCACAUUGGCAGAUGUAGUCUUGAGACCAAUGUGAAGUGUUUGGAGGAACUC
rnacentral:pre_miRNA from 1 species